rnacentral:rRNA from 1 species
CAGAAGAAGACACCGGCUAACUCCGUGCCAGCAGCCGCGGUAAUACGGAGGGUGCGAGCGUUAAUCGGAAUUACUGGGCGUAAAGCGCAUGCAGGCGGUUUGUUAAGUACAGAUGUGAAAGACCCGGGGCGUCAACCUCGGAAUAGCAUUUGAAACUGGCAGACUAGAGUACUGUAGAGGGGGGUAGGAAUUUCAGGUGUAGCGGUGAAAUGCGUAGAGAUCUGAAGGAAUACCGGUGGCGAAGGCGGCCCCUCGGACAGAUACUGACACUCAGAUGCGAAAGCGUGGGGAGCAAACAGGAUUAGAUACCCUGGUAG